CCUCAAAAGAUCAUUUAGGAUCGUCUACCAGACAUUAUAUUUUUAUGCGACACGUCUGUCAGCUCCAAGUCAGGCUACAUUUGUGAUGUCUGACGUCGGGAUUAAAGUGAAUGAGCAUUUCCUGUCCUUCAUGACAAUAUCGACCUUUUCACCAUGACGCCUCACCUACUUCCGGAUGGCAAGAGGCAGAGCGAUAUCCGAUGGCACCACUAGUAAACGACCCCUUCCUUUUUAUUUGACCAAGGCAGAGUGAUUGAAUCAAUUGCUUGAAUGAUUUUCGCCUUCUUCUCUCUCACCCUUGUCUCAAUAUGUGAAGUGUCAGUCAACAAGAUGAUAUUACGUUACGCUGUGGAAGAGACACUUUAGUUUUGAGCGAAAUACGAUACCAAGAUGAGAAGUCACACACAUGAGAUGCGUUGCUCUUGCUGGGCCAUGUUGAGCCUUCCCGAUGGGUGCAAAUAUGGAGCAUGGUGGUGAUGUGCUGACCGUGGAUAGGAUAAACCGUUGUGUGCGGCAACACUGGGGUCCAUCCAGGCUUGAACCAGGAGGCCACCUGCUUGUUCAGCAUCGUCAACAGCACAGCAGGAAAUCGGGGCCAGGCGAUGAUAAGCAGAUUUGGGGGGUACAUGUUUGUGUCUGUGAACAGUAGGUCAUAUAUGCACAUAUUAUGUAAAUGAGCGAUUCUCAACAAGUGUGUCAUUAGAUGUCAGUUGUGGAAAUGAUUCAAUGUCACUUUAUAGUGGUAUGAAACACAUCUUAAGUACUGCGACUAGUGUAUCUUUGUUCAUCUCUCUAAAGUAGUGACAUAUUGACACAAACAAAAUAACGGACGUUUUUUUCCACGAGAUGGCAUCAUUAACUUGUGCAUCAACUUUUUGUGACGUUUUUGUUUGGUGAUGUGCUAUGAGAUUUGUUUCAAUUGUAAAAUAUGUGCUUUAAGACUUUUGUUGGAAAACGCUGAUAUACAAUAAAUUAUUCCAGUCCAUGUUA